rnacentral:rRNA from 1 species
CCUACGGGCGGCAGCAGUGAGGAAUAUUGGUCAAUGGGCGCGAGCCUGAACCAGCCAAGUAGCGUGAAGGAUGACUGCCCUACGGGUUGUAAACUUCUUUUAUAAAGGAAUAAAGAGAGGCACGUGUGCCUGGUUGUAUGUAUGUUAUGAAUAAGGAUCGGCUAACUCCGUGCCAGCAGCCGCGGUAAUACGGAGGAUCCGAGCGUUAUCCGGAUUUAUUGGGUUUAAAGGGAGCGUAGAUGGGUUGUUAAGUCAGUUGUGAAAUUUUGCGGCUCAACCGUAGAAUUGCAAUUGAUACUGGCAGCCUUGAGUUCAGUUGAGGUAGGCGGAAUUCGCGGUGUAGCGGUGAAAUGCUUAGAUAUCACGCAGAACUCCGAUUGCGAAGGCAGCCUACUAACCUGCCACUGACAUUGAUGCUCGAAAGUGUGGGUAUCAAACAGGAUUAGAUACCCGGGUAGUC